rnacentral:rRNA from 1 species
CAGUAGCCACGGGAAUACGAGGGGGGCAAGCGUUGUUCGGAAUUAUUGGGCGUAAAGGGUGCGUAGGCGGUUUGAUAAGUCUUGUGUGAAAUCUCUGGGCUCAACCCAGAGUCUGCACAGGAAACUGUCGGGCUUGAGUAUUGGAGAGGUGAGUGGAAUUUCCGGUGUAGCGGUGAAAUGCGUAGAUAUCGGAAGGAACACCUGUGGCGAAAGCGGCUCACUGGACAAUUACUGACGCUGAUGCACGAAAGCUAGGGGAGCAAACAGGAUUAGAUACCCCAGUAGUCCCUGUCUCUUAUAC